rfam:Brachypodium distachyon strain Bd21 chromosome 3, whole genome shotgun sequence.
UGAGUAUUCCUCCGUCCAACAAAAGAUGCCUCAAGUUUGUCAAAUUUUGGAUGUAUCUAGACAUGACUUAUUGUAUAGAUGCAUUCAAAUUUGGUCAAGUCAAAGUUGAGACAUCCUUUGUUGGACGGAGGGAGUAGGAU